rnacentral:rRNA from 1 species
GAGACAGCAGUAGCCGCGGUAAUACGGAGGGUGCAAGCGUUAAUCGGAAUUACUGGGCGUAAAGCGCACGCAGGCGGUCUGUCAAGUCAGAUGUGAAAUCCCCGGGCUUAACCUGGGAACUGCAUUUGAAACUGGCAGGCUAGAGUCUUGUAGAGGGGGGUAGAAUUCCAGGUGUAGCGGUGAAAUGCGUAGAGAUCUGGAGGAAUACCGGUGGCGAAGGCGGCCCCCUGGACAAAGACUGACGCUCAGGUGCGAAAGCGUGGGGAGCAAACAGGAUUAGAUACCCCAGUAGUCCCUGUCUCUUAUAA